AUUGAACGCUGGCGGCAGGCUUAACACAUGCAAGUCGAACGAGUGGCGGACGGGUGAGUAAUGACUGGGAAACUGCCUGAUGGAGGGGGAUAACUACUGGAAACGGUAGCUAAUACCGCAUACCAUGGGAUGUGCCCAGAUGGGAUUAGCUAGUAGGUGGGGUAAAGGCUCACCUAGGCGACGAUCCCUAGCUGGUCGGAGAGGAUGACCAGCCACACGGGAACUGAGACGCGGUCCAGGCUCCUACGGGAGGCAGCAAUGGGGAAUAUUGCACAGUAGGCGGAAGCCUGAUGCAGCCAUGCAGCGUGUAUGACGAAGGUCUUCGGAUUGGAAAGCACUUUAAGUUGGGAGGCGUUACCAACAGAAUAAGCACCGGCUAACUUCGUGCCAGCCGCCGCGGUAAUAC
rnacentral:rRNA from 1 species